rnacentral:lncRNA from 1 species
GUUGGCACCGAACCACUAUAAAUCCUUGUGUUUGUGGUGUGCUUUAUUGUUUCUCUUUAUUUCUUUAUUAUAUCCUUGCAUUCUUGCUUUAGGUAAUUAAUCUUGAUUUAAAGUCUUUCUUCUCAUUCAUCAAGCUUUUAACAAAUACUUUUCAUAAGUAAUUAGUUAAGCUUAAAAUUUUAAAAACUCAAUUCACCCCCCCUCUUG